rnacentral:rRNA from 1 species
CCUACGGGUGACAGCAGUGGGGAAUAUUGCACAAUGGGGGAACCCUGAUGCAGCGACGCCGCGGGGGUGAAGGCGCGUUUCGGCGCGUAAAGCCCUAUCGGCAGGGAAGAAGGAGGACGGUACCUGACUAAGAAGCCCCGGCUAACUACGUGCCAGCAGCCGCGGUAAUACGUAGGGGGCAAGCGUUAUCCGGAUUUACUGGGUGUAAAGGGGGCGGAGACGGCAGCGCAAGCCUGGUGUGAAAGGCCGGGGCCCAACCCCGGUACUGCACUUGAAACUGCGCGGCUAGAAUGCAGGAAGGGCAGGGGGAAUUCCUGGUGUAGCGGUGAAAUGCGUAGAUAUCAGGAGGAACACCGGUGGCGAAGGCGGCCUGCUGGACUGCGACUGACGUUGAGGCCCGAAAGCGUGGGGAGCAAACAGGAUUAGAUACCCCUGUAGUC